CACGUCUCUUCGGGACCAGACCCUGUUACUUAAAAAUGACAGUGUUAACCAGAGUUCCAGUCCCUUGCUGCGUUUUCGACUUUUUAAGCAACAAGUGAUCCCCCUGCGGUGAGCGGCGGCGAACAGACUGGGUCAAAGGGCGGGAGGAUGCAGCCCUGUUCUGGACCCCGAGAUGGGGACGGAGGUCAGGGGAGCCUCCUCUUCGGAUGUUCUCUCCAGAGCCCCUGCAGUCCCGGCCAGCCUCAGCCUUGUCUGGUGCUCUUGCCUGAUGGAUGCUGAGGAAGCAAGCUCAGACCCAGCUUUUCUCCCAGACCUGGGCAGAAAGCCUCUUCGUCUGAGCCCAUGCUCUUCGUCGUUUAGUGUUCCAGAAGGCUUAAUGUAUAAAGGUCAUGUGCAACAUGGAAUGGAUUUUUUCGGAGUGAGACAUACCAUUUAGGAUGAGUGUAGUAGUAUCUAUUCUAAUGUUUAGGCCCCUCAAUAUUAGCUGCCAUUCAGGUUACCGUUUGAAGAAACAAAACCUUAUAUAGCCAAACAUGACCUAAUUUACUGAACUAAUAAAAAGUAAACAACCUAAGGGCGCCUGGCUCUUCAGAAAAGCACGGACUCCUAUUUCAGAGUGGUGAACUGGAGACUCAUUUUGGAUGUAUGGAUUACUUAGAUAAAAAUAAACUUCUAAAAAAUGCACACACACACAGGUUUAAAAAACUUAGAUAUAAAUAGUGGCCAGUAUGUGGAGAAGAGGAAACCCAUGUUGCACUGUUAGUGGGAAUAUAACUGGUUUAGCCAUUAUGGAAAACAGAAUGGAGGUUCCUAAAAAAAUUCAAAAUAGAACUACUAUGUCGGGGUGCCUGGGUGGCUCAGCAGUUAAGCAUCUGCCUUCCGCUCAGGAUGUGAUCCUGGAGUCCUGGGAUUGAGUCUCAGGAUCGAGUCCCACAUCGAGUCCCACAUCAGGCUCCCUGUAUGGAACCUGUUUCUCCCUCUGCCUAUGUCUCUGCCUCUCUCUGUGUCUCUCAUGAAUUAAUAAAUAAAAUCUUAAAAAAAAAAAAAGAACUACUAUGAGAUCCAGCAAUCCCACUUCUGGAUGUAUAUUCAAAGGAAA